AGCGGGCUGGGGAAGCCAGGCCUAUCCCGCAGGGCUCAUAACCCUGAGAUCGGAAGUUCAAAUCUUCCGCCCGCUACCA
rnacentral:tRNA from 1 species